rnacentral:lncRNA from 1 species
GAGGCAGAGGCAGAGAUAGGGCGGAGGCAGGCAGAUUUCUCUGAGUUUGAGACCAGCCAGGACUACAGAGUGAGACCUCUCAAGCAAAAACAAGCGGCAUGGGGAGGUUUAUUGCUGGCAGCAAACUAGGAGCAAACUGGGGACCAUUCAAAGCAGUGUCUCCCUAGACAUUCUGGCUCUCUGGCUUUUCUCUUUUCUUUUGGUGCUAGGACAGAAGAGACUUCUGUGUGUAGGGCUCUCCCUGCAGCUGAGUCUCCCUGCCUUCCCGUGCUUUCUGAUUCUGACAGGAUGAUGAAGAUGACUCAAAGGGGAUGAGGAACUCGGCUGGAAUCCACUUGCUCACUCCCAGCUCCAGAGAGAAGGAAGGAUCCCCUAGCACCCUAAGCUGGCUGAGGGUUCGCCCCUUCCUCCUGUGGUCCUAUUCCCAAGAGUCCCAUCUUUGGGCUCACAGAGCAACUCCCCUUUGAAAAGUCCUACCCCAUCCAAACCAUUUCUACUCUCUUAUGCUCACCCUGCUAGACUGGGCCAAUUUCCAAGCAGCAAAAGCCAUGUCUUGAGGGGUGGGGAUUCCUGGAAAAAGUAACUUGGAUGGUUUUGCAUCUGAGUUUCCAUAUUCCCAAACGAAUUCAAUGUACUUGAUGGUUCCUGAGCUUAUCGCUUCCUGGAAACUACUGGUCAAGUGUGCUCCCAUCACUGCUUUUACUCUGAAACACACCUCCAGGAGGAGGGGACAGCUGAAGUCUGCAGCUGGGAAUAAUAAAAGCUCAGUAGAUUGGCACAACCU